CCUGACGCAGCGACGCCGCGUGGAGGAUGAAGGUCUUCGGAUUGUAAACUCCUGUUGCUCGGGACGAAAAGCCUCGACCUGACACGUCGAGGUCUGACGGUACCGAGUGAGGAAGCCCCGGCUAACUCUGUGCCAGCAGCCGCGGUAAUACAGAGGGGGCAAGCGUUGUUCGGAAUUACUGGGCGUAAAGGGCGCGUAGGCGGCCCGCUAAGUCGAACGUGAAAUCCCCGAGCUCAACUCGGGAACUGCGUCCGAUACUGGUGGGCUUGAAUCCGGGAGAGGGAUGCGGAAUUCCAGGUGUAGCGGUGAAAUGCGUAGAUAUCUGGAGGAACACCGGUGGCGAAGGCGGCAUCCUGGACCGGCAUUGACGCUGAGGCGCGAAAGCUAGGGGAGCAAACGGGAUUAGAUACCCCGGUAGUCCUAGCCCUGAACGAUGAAUGCUUGGUGUGGCGGGUAUCGAUCCCUGCCGUGCCGAAGCUAACGCAUUAAGCAUUCCGCCUGGGGAGUACGGUCGCAAGGCUGAAACUCAAAUGAAUUGACGG
rnacentral:rRNA from 1 species